rnacentral:rRNA from 1 species
AUUGAACGCUGGCGGCAGGCCUAACACAUGCAAGUCGAACGGUAACAGGAAGAAGCUUGCUUCUUUGCCGACGAGUGGCGGACGGGUGAGUAAUGUCUGGGAAACUGCCUGAUGGAGGGGGAUAACUACUGGAAACGGUAGCUAAUACCGCAUAACGUCGCAAGACCAAAGAGGGGGACCUUCGGGCCUCUUGCCAUCGGAUGUGCCCAGAUGGGAUUAGCUAGUAGGUGGGGUAACGGCUCACCUAGGCGACGAUCCCUAGCUGGUCUGAGAGGAUGACAAGCCACACUGGAACUGAGACACGGUCCAGACUCCUACGGGAGGCAGCAGUGGGGAAUAUUGCACAAUGGGCGCAAGCCUGAUGCAGCCAUGCCGCGUGUAUGAAGAAGGCCUUCGGGUUGUAAAGUACUUUCAGCGGGGAGGAAGGGAGUAAAGUUAAUACCUUUGCUCAUUGACGUUACCCGCAGAAGAAGCACCGGCUAACUCCGUG